AGAGGAAGAAGGAUUCAGAGGCCAGACAGACAGUCGCAUGUGUUGUGGGCAGGGCCAAUAGUACUCAGCUACCUGUGCCAUCUUUGUGAGGAAGCAGUCGAUGAAGUCCCGGGGAGAGUUGGGGUCGAGGGAAUCCUGGUGUUCGCGGACGCUGCGGGCAAUGAGAUCUUUCAUGCCUCCAAAGUUCCGGAACACGCGUUUGUGUGGCCCAGGAACUUGAUGUACUGUGAAGACUGGCCAUGAACUCAUGAUCCUCUUGUCUCAACCUUCUGAGUGCUAAUGAAUUUUUUAGAGAGAUGAGCAUACCCAAGGGUCUUGGAACUGUAGAAAACUGUGAUUUUGGAGAAAACUGAUUUUGUUUGAACUUUGUAUUGCUGACAUAGAACUGAGGUCUUAUGCACACUAGGCAAGAACUUUGCCCCUGAGUCACACCCCCAGCCCCUCACUGGAGGAUUCUAGGCAGGGGCUCUACCACUGAAACUAUGCCCCCAACCACCUCCUGUGGGAUUCUAGGAAGGUGUUCUACCUUCUUAAUUAUAAAUCCCAUAAGAAAUAAAAUGAUCAACCCCCAAAGAUAUUUAGUUUUAAUUAUGUGUGUGCACACACAUGUGUGUGGAUGCCCACGGAGGCCAGAGGGUGUUGGAUCCUCUGAAGGUGGAGUUACAGGAAGUUGUGAACUACGACGUGAGUUCUGGGAACUGAACUGAAAUCCUCUGCAGGAGCAAGAAGUGCUCUUAAUCACAGAGCCAUCUCUCUAGUCCUCUUUCCCCUCGCCCCCUGACAUUUUUUAUUUUUUAUUUUUGAAACAAGGCCUCAUGUAGCAUAGGCUGGUUUCAAACUCACUAUUUAUCCAAGAAUGAUCUUGAAGUCUUGGCCCUCCUGCCUCCACCUCCUGAAUUCUGGAAUUACAGCACCUCCAGCAGGAAGCUGCCUUCUUCCAGGAUCCGCUCCUCGAUGCUUCUUUUUCCCAUGCCAAAGUUCCGCAGGAUUUGGACAGAGAACCUUCUGAGAAUCUUCCAGCGCUCUCCAUCGGAGAAGGCGAUGCCUGGGAAGAGGAAAAGGAACGGCAAAUCCAACUGGCAACCAUUCCCAAACCACAGCCACCGACUCAUCUCUUCCUGCUCCAUCAGGAGGGGGAUUCUAAACUGAAUCCGCAGUUCUUCCAGCAAAUCCUUCCCGACUCUUGGGACUGGACCAGGUGCCUGCUUUGGGCUUCGCAGGACUCUGGGCUUUCCACUGAUCAUGCUGACUCUGUAUUCCCUUGUAACGACCUGUCACUUUGAGGUGUCAGAAGGCAGAGUAAAGACACAUUUUGUGUCAAAAUGACCUUUGAAUUGUCAUCAGACUUUGUUGAUUGUUUAUUGAUUAUUGAGUGUACAAAUAAGAUAUGUAAAUAAGAAAAAUAAAUAUUGGGACAC
rnacentral:lncRNA from 1 species